UACGUAGGGUGCAAGCGUUGUCCGGAAUUAUUGGGCGUAAAGAGCUCGUAGGCGGUUUGUCGCGUCUGCUGUGAAAACCUGGGGCUCAACCCCGGGCCUGCAGCCGAUACGGGCAAGCUAGAGUUCGGUAGGGGAGACUGGAAUUCCUGGUGUAGCGGUGAAAUGCGCAGAUAUCAGGAGGAACACCGGUGGCGAAGGCGGGUCUCUGGGCCGAUACUGACGCUGAGGAGCGAAAGCGUGGGGAGCAAACAGG
rnacentral:rRNA from 1 species